rnacentral:rRNA from 1 species
GAGACUCUGUGCGCGUGCAUAUCAAUAAGCGGAGGAAAAGAAACUAACAAGGAUUCCCCUAGUAACGGCGAGUGAAGCGGGAAGAGCUCAAAUUUGAAAUCUUAAAGGGUUUCCCUUUACGAAUUGUAGUUUAAAGAAGUGUUUUCUGUUGGAGUUUCGGUAAAAGUUCUUUGGAAUAGGACAUCAUAGAGGGUGAGAAUCCCGUAUUUGACCGUUACUUUCCAGCUGUGUGAUACACUUUCAAAGAGUCGGAUUGUUUGGGAAUGCAGUCCAAGAUGGGUGGUAAAUUUCAUCUAAAGCUAAAUAUUGGCGAGAGACCGAUAGCGAACAAGUACCGUGAGGGAAAGAUGAAAAGAACUUUGAAAGAGAGUUAAACAGUACGUGAAAUUGUCAAAAGGGAAGCGUUUGACACCAGUGUUGUUUAGUUGAAAAUCAAUUCAAUAGUUUUUGAUUCUAAGUAGUAUUGACUUCAUCAGCUUGCUGCUUUCCUUCUCAGAAAUUAUUGAAUGCACUUUUCAGUUAACAAGUCAACAUCAAUUUCUUUUGUUGUAAAAGGGUAAGAGGAAGGUGGCUUACGCUUCGGCGUAAGUGUUUAUAGCCUUUUACCUCUGCAAUCGGAGAGAUUGAGGACAGCAGCGUAGACUCUUCGGGGUUAGAUACACUUGUGCUAAGCUAUAGCCUUGUAUAGACAACUUGUUGACUAUGCUCAGUCAUGUAGCUUACUCGCUUGUGCUAUUUUACCUACGCUUAGGAUGUUGACAGCAGUAUAGACUGU